AUCCUACUGGCAUCUUUUCUUUCAGGGAUUUAUCUUAUAAUGAAUUGACAGGGCCGGUGCCAGAAUUUUUAGCACAACUACCGAAUUUAAAUACUCUAAAUUUAAGUGGGAACAAGCUCACUGGAUCCAUUCCAUAGUCCCUUAUAGAAAAGUUUAAUAAUGGAACAUUGCAGUUGAGGUUUGAACGUCUUCUCUUGUCCAUCAUUUUAUUUUCAUCAUUUUCCAGCUAUUAAAUGAACCAAUGAAAAAAAAAUGAUGAUAUUGAAAUACAUAGGUUAUUUAAUAUCUGUUAUAUGACGAAUUGAUGAUGUCAUACUCAAUGCUAGCUUCGACAAAAAUCCAAAUUUAUGCCAGUCGGAUUCAUGUGAGGAAAAGAAACAUUUUCUUCUUCCAGUUGUUGCAUCAAUUAUAUCAAUAUUGAUGCUUCUGCUCCUAUGCAUGAUAGCUAUCUCUUGGAGACAUAGAAGACAGCAAGCAAUAGCGGAAACGCAAAAAUCAAAGAAUCAGACCUUUAGUUUCUCAGAGAUAAUUAGUAUUACUGAUAACUUUAAGACCGCCAUUGGAGGAGGGGCUUUGGAAAAGUUUACUUCCUAAAAGAUGGAACUCAAGUUGCAAUUAAGCUGUUAUCUCAAUCAUCAAAUCAAAGCUACAAGGAAUUUCAAGCAGAGGUUAGACAUAGCGCUACUGCAGCGUCAGUUUCAACCCAAUUGAAUCAAUUAUUUGUGCCUUUCUCCCUCUAUUACACGAUAGAUAGUACAAAUAAAUAUACACUCUGAUUAAUAGUGGUUUUUCAAAAUUAAAAAGUGCAGGUGCAGCUCCUGAUGGUUGUUCAUCAUAGGAAUUUGGUUUCACUAAUUGGUUACUCCAAUGAUAGUCAUAACAUGGCAUUGGUAUAAGAGUACGUGGUUAAUGGAAACUUGCAAGAGCAUUUAUCAAACAACUCUUGACAAUGAUAGCCUGAUGUAUUUUGGUUGCGGAGAAAAGUGGAAGUAUUCUGACCUGGAAAGAGAGAUUUCAAAUUGCAGUAGAUGCAGCUUGUGGACUAGAGUGUCUACAUAAUGGUUGCAAACCACCGAUUAUCCACAGGGAUUUGAAGACUUCCAACAUUUUAUUGAACGAAAAAUGGCAAGCAAAGAUGAUUUACCACCAAGGGUUAAAAUGGCAAGC